rnacentral:tRNA from 1 species
UCCCCGAUAGCUCAAUGGUAGAGCGCCCGCCUGUUAAGCGGUAGGUUCUUGGUUCGAGUCCAAGUCGGGGAGCCA